rnacentral:lncRNA from 1 species
CCUGAGCAGAAGAAAACGGCACCUCACAAAGCCCUAGGUGCCGAAAUAUUAACCUAAACCCUCUGCCGAAUUUUCCCUCUUCAAUUCCCUAAAUUCGGCCAACUCCCAGUCUCUCACCCAAUCCCUUAAAUCUCUCCCCUUAUCACUCCUUAAUUCAAGCAUUUGGACUGAUUCAAACUUUCCUUUAGCAGACUCCACUUGGACUCCAACACUUACCCCUCUUGCACUUAAAAAAUAAAUGCAUCUAUUUGUCAACACAGGGAAUCGAUCCCAUGCCUUCCCCAAUGCUCCACACGCCACCUUUUUAGGAGCCUAGUGGCGUCACCCUUGCCACUUUACUAAGGCUCUUUUUGUGAUGCAAUUUACCCAUCACUCCACUUAAGGGCCACUUAGCCAGAACCCCUAACUCCUAAGUCCAAAAAUUCCAAAAAAUUCAACCUGGUUUUGGCCAACACAUGUGCCUUCUAUAAGCCCAUUUACCUACUCAAAAUAUUAAUUUCACAUCCAAAUACAAAAUUUUAAAGUCUUUACAAAAUAUUGAAAACCGCGAAUAAAUCCGAAAAUCAGGAUGUUACAACUCUACCCUCCUUAAAGAAAUUUCGACCUCAAAAUUUUACCUUAUUAGAACAGUUGAGGGUAGUGUUGACGCAUAGCCUCCUCAGUCUCCCAUGUAGCUUCUUCUUUGCCAUGGUUCCUCCAAAGUACUUUCACUAGUGGAACUAAUUUCCUUCUCAACACCUUGACGUCACGAUCAAGUAUUUGCACAGGUUCCUCCUCGAAAGUUAAAUCUGACUGUACCUCGAUUUUCGCAACUGGUAUUAUGUGAGUUGGGUCAGAUCGAUACCGCCUCAGCAUGGAUACAUGAAAAAUGUCGUGGAUAUGAUGCAGUUCUGGUGGUAACUCUAGCUGAUAAGCCACUGGUCCAACCCGCUUAACAAUUCGGUAAGACCCAAUAAACCGUGGGCUCAACUUACCCUUCUUACCAAAUCUUAAAAUUUUCUUCCAAGGGAAACCUUCAAGAAAACCAUAUCCCCAACAGCGAACCCAAUCUCCUUGCGCUUUAGAUCCGCAUACGACUUCUGUCUAUCGGAUGCCUCCCUUAACCGAUCCCUUAUCAGCCUAACCUUGCUUUCAGUGUCUGCCACCAAUUCUGGUCAAGCGCUCGUCGUUCACCCAACUCUGUCCAACACGUCGGCGUACGACAUCUUCGCCCAUAAAGCGCUUCAUAUGGUGCCAUCUGAAUACUUGCUUGAUAGCUGUUAUUGUAAGCAAACUCCGCCAAUGGCAAGUAGUCCUCCCAACUUCCACGAAAAUCAAUGAUACAACCUCUUAACAUAUCUUCCAGAACCUGAAUAACCCUUUCUGAUUGUCCAUCUGUCUGUGGGUGAAAAGCAGUGCUAAAACCCAAUCGUGUACCCAACGCUUCCUGCAACUUUCGCCAAAACCGAGAUGUAAACCUAGGGUCUUGAUCAGAAAUUAUCGACACUGGCACCCCAUGCAGUCGCACUACCUCUGCCAUAUAUAACUUGGCCAACUUUUGCAGUGAGUAGUCGGUACGAACAGGUAUGAAUUGAGCAGAUUUUGUUAACCUAUCCACAACCACCCACACCGAAUCUUUCUUGGCGGGUGUCAAAGGUAACCCACUCACAAAGUCCAUUGUUACUCUUUCCCACUUCCAUAGUGGAAUUUUCACAGGUUGCAGUAAUCCCGAAGGCAAUUGGUGCUCAGCCUUAACCUACUGGCACAUCAGACAUUUCCCAACAAAUUCAGUCACCUCUCGUUUUAAUCCGGGCCACCAGUACACUUCUCGCAAGUCUUGAUAUAACUUAUUCCCUCUAGGAUGCAUGGCACAGAGUCCACCAUGAGCCUCUUUUAGAAUUAUCUGCCUCAAUUCAGGGUCCUUUGGAAUACAAACCCUUCCACGAAAGCACAGAACUCCUUCAGUGUUCAACCCAAAAUCCUCGUUCUCACCACUCUUAACUUGCUAGAACCGGAGAGCUAAUGAAUCGUCCUUCAACUGUUUUUCCUUAAUCUGCUCAGUCCAAGUAGGCCUUACCUGCAGUUCUGCCAACAAACUUCCAUCGUCGUACAGACUUAAUCGUGCGAACAAGGCUCUCAAAUCAGUCACAACCCUUCGACUCAACGCAUCCGCCACCACAUUAGCCUUUCCUGGGUGGUACUCUAUCGAACAGUCGUAAUCUUUAAGCAACUCCACCCAUCUUCGUGCCUAAGGUUCAACUCCUUCUGAGUCAACAAAUACCUUAGGCUCUUAUGAUCUGUAUAUAUAAUGUACUUCUCCCCAUAUAAGUAAUGUCUCCAAAUUUUUAACGCAAAAAUCACCGCUGCUAGCUCCAAAUCAUGCGUAGGGUAAUUCACCUCAUGAGCCUUAAGAUGUCGCGAUGCAUAAGCGACCACCUUGCCCUCUUGCAUCAGUAUGCAACCUAACCCCACAUGCGACGCAUUGCUGUAUACAGUAAAGUCCUUCCCAGACACCGGUUGAAUCAACACUGGCGCUUCGGUCAAUACCUUUUUCAACCGAUCAAAAGCUUUUUGCUGUUUCUCGGUCCAGACAAAUGGUACUCCUUUCCUUAUGAGUUUUGUCAAGGGCGCCGCCAUUACCGAGAAACCCUCCACAAACCUUCUAUAGUAACCUGCUAACCCUAGAAAACUCCGAAUUUUCGAUACUGACCUAGGUGGCUUCCAUUCCAGAAUUGCUUCAAUUUUACGAGGAUCCACCUUAAUCCCCUCGGCGGAGACCACAUGCCCAAGGAAGGUUACCUCCCUCAACCAGAAUUCACACUUGCUGAAUUUCGCAUAAAGCUCAUUUUCCCUUAACACUUGCAGCACAAUACGGAGAUGCUCAUCAUGCUUCACCUCCGUUUCAGAGUAUACCAGGAUAUCGUCGAUAAAGACAACUACGAACCGAUCCAAGUAAGGUUGGAAUACUCAAUUCAUCAGAUCCAUAAAAGCUGCAGGUGCGUUCGUCAGCCCAAACGGCAUGACCACAAACUCAUAAUGUCUAUAUCGAGUUCGAAAUGCUGUCUUAUGAAUAUCCCCUUCUUUUACCCUUAGCUGAUGGUAUCCAGAACGAAGACCGAUUUAGGAGAAUACUGAAGCUCCCCUCAGCUGAUCAAACAGAUCGUCAAUCCUUGGUAGUGGAUACUUAUUCUUAAUCGUCAGUUUGUUCAACUAACGAUAAUCGAUGCACAUACGCAUCGUUCCGUCCUUUUUCUUCACAAACAGGACUGGUGCUCCCCAAGGAGACACACUAGGCCUAAUGAAGCCUCUAUCUAACAACUCUUGAAUUUGAGCCUUCAGUUCCACUAACUCCUUCGGUGCCAUCCUAUAGGGUGCAAUAGAUACUGGAGCUGUUCCAGGCAACAAAUCGAUUCCAAACUCAACUUCUCGAUUCAGAGGUAAUCCAGGAAGCUCUUCCGAAAAAACAUCCCGGAAUUCCCUAACAGUUCUGAUGGUCUCCACAGUCAGAUCCUCAGUUUCAGCUUGGCUUACCAAAGCCAGAUACGCCUCGCACCCCUUGCGCAUCAGUUUCUCCGCCCUCAACGCCGAUACUACAUUGGAUAAGUAAUCCCUCCGUUCUCCAAUAAUCAUUACCUCUUCAUCAUUGACAGUCCUUAACACCAUCCUCUUAGCUGCACAAUCCAAAGUUGCCUUAUGCUUGGUCAACCAAUCCAUCCCUAGUAUCAAAUCGAAUUCUUCAAGCGGUAACUCCAUCAAAUCCCCACAGAAAACCCCAUCUUGAAUCUCCAAAGGCACCUCCUUGAAGAGUUUCUCUACCUUAACCGAAUGACCUAAAGGACUUAUCACAGACACCCCACACACAGUCUUCUCGAAGUGCACACCCAGUGCCCCAGAAAUGUUAUAUGCCAUAUAUGAAUGGGUUGGUCCCACAUCAAUCAGAGCAGUAUAAGGUACACCAUAUAUAAAAAACGUACCAGUUAUGACAUCAGGUGCGUCACCCUCCUCGCGGCGACGAGCAGCAUACACCAAAGCUGGCUGACGAGCAUCCGCAUUACCAAUACCCCUGCCGGGUGCCCCACGUCCACGGCCAUUACCACCGCGACCUUGUCCACGACCUCUUGGCAGCGGCGGUCCAUCCCUCACAGGUUGAGCCGGUCGCACAGCCCCUUGUUCGGCCACCUGAGCCUGAGUGGCCCUCCUAGGACAAUCCUUAAUCCUAUGCUCCUUAGACCCACAACGAAGACAAGCCCCAGACCGCUUCCAGUACUCUCCUUGAUGCAUUCUGCCGCAAUCCCCACAAGCUUGCGGUCUACCCAUGUUCACCGGAACUGUUCGAACUGGUUCCUCCAUCCUAGCUCUCUUAACAUUUCGAUUUGCAGCACCCGCUGGUCCAGCAUCCCUCCUGAACCGAUUCCGAUCCCUAUCACGAUUCUUUCGUUCGGUUUGUUUCACCUCCUCGGCUAUCUUAGCCUUCUCUACUAGUGCAGCGAAAUCUCGCUCUCUCUGCGGAGCUAUGAGCACCCUUAACUCAUCUCUGAAGCCAUCCUCAAAAUGAACGCUGCGCUCGUAUUCGGUGGAAAUGAUGCCAUUAGCAUACCGACUCAAUCGUAGAAACUCCGCCUCAUAUUCAGCAAUGGUCUUAUUUCCCUGAGUCAGAUUCAGGAACUCCUUUUUGCGUGCAUCCACAUAGCUAGCUCCAACAUAUUUUGCCUUAAAGGUCUGUUUGAACAGCUCACAUGUUACCCUCUCAGCUGGGGUACCCUCUCUCACAGUAAUCCAUCACUUAUAUGAUUCAUCCCGCAGUAACGAAACCGCCCCUUUCAACUUCUAUUCUACUGAGCAGUCCAGGUUAUCCAUGAUCCGCUCUGUGGCUUCCAACCAGUACUCAGCCACAUUUGGGGCCACUCCAGAUAUGCCCCUAAAAAUCUCAGCUCCGUUGGCCCGAAGGCGUUUAGAAAUGGACCCCCUAUUCAUGGGCCCGAUGUUAGCUCCGGCCACCCUUUCCAACACCCUCAACAUGGCCUGAGACAAAGCGUCAUCCCCUGCGGCCCGGUCAUACGGCCCAUUUUCAUUAACUGGUGGUGAACAUAACUCGCCAGCUGGCAUGUGUUCAGAUGACGCAGAUCCAGCUUGAGUGCUACCUCGGCCUCGACCACGGCCUCUUCCUCGAGUAGCCCUUGUACUCAUAACGAUUUAUCUGAUUACGAAUUUUAUGACAUCAGUUUACUGGAUUCACUGUUUAUUACAGAAGGUCUUAUGAAUAGAUAGAGUUUCAGAGUUAUUUUCGCGCAAUCACAAUUUAGCUACGGUCCCAGUUUUGUAGCCCUAAUACUACCUUAUCAAUAGCACUAUCUCUAAGGCUCAGUACUAUCUAUAGUAUUAUUUCUAGUCUAGUUCCAUAUAAAUAUUUAAAGCAGAAAAAGAACACUUACAGACUUGGUGCCGGGGAUUCAGUGUGCCACCUCCUUUGUAAAAAUUAAAAACCCUAUUUUUGUUUACCGAAAAUAAAAGAAUUUGAUUUGAAAACACUUUUAUUUUAAAAAUAUUGAUUUAACCCUGUUUAAAAAUAGAAAAACUUGAACCUUCUUUGAAAAACUUACCAUUUCCAAAAAUACCCUUCUUAGGCCUAAGUUUUUGAAAAGAUUUUCGGACCCGAUCCACAGCCGAGUUGUUGCAACCAGGCUCUGAUACCACUAAAUGUAACACCCUAAACCCGGCCUAGACGUUAUGACCGAAUCUGAUGCGCCACAUCGAUGCGUUCAAAACAUUCCGUAUUACUUAGUUUGGAAAAACUUAGUUGGUGUUGUAAAAGACACUUUUAAAAGUAGGUUAAAGUGAACGGAAGCUGUGCACCAGGUAGGAAACCAGGAAGAAGAGGAGGUGAGUCCGUCGGACUGCUUAAGUACCAAGCUCCCUUCGGAUCCAAUCCUAGACAUGCACACCGCCAUUGCCACACUCUAACAUCUCGUAUAAUUUUGAGAAAACUGUUCGGUUAUGUCCAUCUUAAGAAAGUGAUUAAGGUUGAAAACGUUUGCUUAGCGGAAGUCUUCCUCGUAUUCGUGUUAUUUUGAAAUCACUUAAUGUUUUUGAAAACGCGUCCUAGAGCUAAUUUAUUUCGUUAGUUAUCAUAGAUCAGUUUUAUCAUAAUAGAAUUAAAUAAUAAAUAAACAACCCAAACCAUAAAAAUAAUUAGCGGCCAUAUUACAAAAAAACCCAAAACCAUAAACGAAAAUAUGAAAAAUCUAGUUCACUAGAAGAAAACGAAUUUGCAGAAAACGUGUGGCCACUCCGAAUCCCGCCCAGCUCCAAGUCCACCAACUAGGGCUCACCUGCAAGGAUGGAAGGGAAAAGGGGGUGAGUUUGGGAAAACUCAGUGUAUACAGAAACCCAUCCAAAGCCCAAAUCAGCUCGAGCCCAUUGGGCCUAAGCCCUAUUCAGGUAACAGUACACAGUGGACCGAAGCCCUUUUCAGAACACAAUAGCAAGGCCUUAGCCCUUUUUAACAUAACAGUGUGGCCCAUAGGCCCAGUUCAGUAACAUAGGUAACAAUAGUAGUAAUGCAUGCAAACCCAUCUGGGGAGACUACUCAACCCACCAACCGCUACACUGCCCCGUACCAGCCCUACACUCCAUGUGGGGAAUAUCUCAACCCACCCAGCCCUACACUCUACGGUUGCAGCAACGCCGCUCAAAUAUCAGUAAGUUGAGGCAAAGCCUCCAGUACGUGGAUGAACCACUUUCAAUACUUCCUCCAUCAAUACCCCAAUCCCAUGCAACAGAUAUUAAUAAAGCAUAUCAUGUACAAUACAAUAUUAAUCAAUCAUGCAGUUUAGCUAAUUUAAACCCUAGGGGUACAUCGGUAAUUUUGCUCUUUAAAGGUCAUUUUUGUAACUUAGAAACUACACAAAUUACUUCAGAGAUUUUCAACAGUUUUAUGCAAUUUGGUUCCACCAUCUAACUAACAGGCUAAUUUGCCCAUAUCUUACCCAUAUUGGUCCGUAAGCCCAUGGGCCCAGUUUUGGCCCAUCUGGCCCCUUUUUCCGAAGUACGCUAAAAUGUCACACGAACUUACAUACCACUUUGCGGUGUUAGAUCUAACAAUUACUCUAUGUCUUGAGAGCAUUCGCAUACUCACAAGCCUAUGAAAUGCCGGAAUUUCGGCAUUUCGGCUUUUGCCGAAUUGAACUAAGGAAGGGUGUUAGGUACACACCUGGUUCGCGACGACUGCUACCGAGAUCCCUUUCGAUGUCCUACAAUUGAUUAGUACAGUUCUUAUUUACAAACCGUAAUCACUAAACCCAAAACUUGCUCAACCAAAGUCGAGCCAUGUUCCUAAAAAGCCUUUGAACCCUUACCUUUUUGCCAAAAUCGAUAGCUAGCUCCGAAUCCGAUUGUUCCAAUGAUUCACGCUUUUGAUCCAAUGCUUAAGAAGACUCUAAACACCGAAAGAAAACAUCAAUUACAAACCCUUAAAGCCUUAUGCUCAAAUCGACAGCCUCCCUAAUUUUUAGGGACUUCAGCUUUUCUUAACAUCGUAAAAUAAGAAUAGAUCUGAGAUGAUAAGUACUUACCCCUUACUCCUACUUGAUUUCCACGCAAUCCGGUGCAGAUUUAUCCUUAGAACAAUGGUAAAACCUGAAUCCAAGGGUUGAAGAAGUUUCGGCUAUAAGCCCCUAAACUAAUGGUACUUUCGGCUUUUGGGUGGUGAAGGAGAUGACGAUAUGAGGCUAUGACCUUGAAGUAGAAUUGCCGUCAGGUAUCUAGGAUUAUGAAAAGAUAAUCGUAGAUUUAAUAAAAACAAAAGAACAUAGAAGGACCUGGCUUUGAAAAAAUCGGCACAAGCAGUGAUCACAGGAUUUCGGCUUUUGCGACUUCGGCAAAGGUGCUGAUGAAUAGCAGGUUUGAUGGACGGCUUUGGAGAAAGAAGUAGAGAAAGAAGAACAGGAUAGGUGAAAGUUUCGGCUAGAGAGGAAAAGAGAGAAAAAGAAAACCCUUGUGGUGCCUGAGCAGAAGAAAACGGCACCUCACAAAGCCCUAGGUGCCGAAAUAUUAACCUAAACCCUCUGCCGAAUUUUCCCUCUUCAAUUCCCUAAAUUCGGCCAACUCCCAGUCUCUCACCCAAUCCCUUAAAUCUCUCCCCUUAUCACUCUUUAAUUCAAGCAUCUGGACUGAUUCAAACUUUCCUUUAGCAGACUCCAGUUGGACUCCAACACUUACCCCUCCUG